UUGUUUCAUGUGUUAAUUUUUUUUUUCUGAAUUUUUUUUAGAGUUAGAGAAUAAGAACUUGAAAGUGAGGAAGAAGAACAAGAAGUAGAGUGAGAUAUGAUAGAGGCGAAGGAAUUUUCUAUUUUAUUUGAUUAUAUCAAUUUAUUUAUUUUAUUUUUGUUAAUAAUUAAAAUGCCCACGUGCCGUUGUUUAAUUGGCGCUGGGAUUUAAAAUAUGGCAUGGCCUUUUGUAUAGUUUUUCCCGGGUUGCAUAUAUGCUUUGUGUAUAUAUGUAUACUGCCACCACUUGGGGGGUUAAGCCAUUGGGUAUCUCCAGGUUAUAAUUUACCCUAAAAACUAGAAAUGUGUACUUAUUUA
rnacentral:lncRNA from 1 species